UAGAGGGCAACCCCCCACAUUGGAACUGAGACACGGUCCAAACUUCUACGGAAGGCAGCAGUGAGGAAUAUUGGUCAAUGGAGGAAACUCUGAACCAGCUAUGUCGCGUGAAGGACGACAGCCUUUUUGGUUGUAAACUUCUUUUGUAUAGAAAUAAAAUUUCCUACGUGUUGGAACCUGAAAGUACUGUACGAAUAAGUGUCGGCUAAUUACGUGCCAGCAGCCGCGGUAAUACGUAAGACACAAGCGUUAUCCGGAUUUAUUGGGUUUAAAGGGUGUGUAGGCUGUUUAUUAAGUCAGUAGUGAAAGCUUACAGCUUAACUGUAAAAUGUCUAUUGAUACUGAUAAUCUUGAGUAAGAUUGGAGCAUCUGGAACGUAUGGUGUAGCGGUGAAAUGCAUAGAUAUCAUACAGAACACCAAUAGCGAAGGCAGGAUGCUAAAUCUUUACUGACGCUGAGGCACGAAAGCGUGGGGAGCAAACAGGAUUAGAUACCCUGGUAGUCCACGCCCUAAACGAUGAUCACUAGCUAUUGGAGAAAACUAUAUUCAGUGGCUAAGCUAAAGCGAUAAGUGAUCCACCUGGGAAGUAUAGUCGCAAGAUUGAAACUCAAAGGAAUUGACGGGGUUUCGCACAAGCGGUGGAGCAUGUGGUUUAAUUCGAUGAUACGCGAGGAACCUUACCAAGGCUUAAAUGUAUUACGAAUAAGCUGGAAACAGCUUAGUCAUAUAUGACGUAGUACAAGGUGCUGCAUGGUUGUCUUCAGUUCGUGCUGUGAAGUGUUUGGUUAAGUCCUAUAACGAGCGCAACCCUUAUUGUUAGUUGCCAUCUGGUAAUGCUGGGGACUCUAACAAAACUGCCUGUGUAAACAGUGAGGAAGGU
rnacentral:rRNA from 1 species